rnacentral:rRNA from 1 species
GCUCAAAUUUGAAAUCUGGCGUCCUCAGGGCGUCCGAGUUGUAAUCUAUAGAGGCGUUUUCCGUGCCGGACCGUGUCCAAGUUCCUUGGAACAGGAUAUCAAAGAGGGUGACAAUCCCGUACUUGACACGACGACCGGUGCUCUGUGAUACGUCUUCUACGAGUCGAGUUGUUUGGGAAUGCAGCUCAAAAUGGGUGGUGAGUUCCAUCUAAAGCUAAAUAUUGGCGAGAGACCGAUAGCGAACAAGUACCGUGAGGGAAAGAUGAAAAGCACUUUGGAAAGAGAGUUAAACAGUACGUGAAAUUGUUGAAAGGGAAACGAUUGAAGUCAGUCGUGACCGAGAGGCUCAGCCGGUUCUGCCGGUGUAUUCCCCUCGGUCGGGUCAACAUCAGUUUUGUCCGGUGGAUAAGGGCGGUAGGAAGGUGGCACCCUCGGGUGUGUUAUAGCCUGCCGUCGCAUACAUCGGGUGAGACUGAGGAACGCAGCUCGCCUUUAUGGCCGGGGUUCGCCCACGUCCGAGCUUAGGAUGUUGACAUAAUGGCUUUAAACGACCCGU